UACGUAGGUGGCAAGCGUUGUCCGGAUUUACUGGGCGUAAAGAGCGCGCAGGCGGUCGUUCAAGUCGCGUGUGAAAGCCCCCGGCUCAACUGGGGAGGGUCACGCGAUACUGAUCGACUCGAAAGGCAGGAGAGGGAAGUGGAAUUCCCGGUGUAGUGGUGAAAUGCGUAGAUAUCGGGAGGAACACCAGUGGCGAAGGCGACUUCCUGGCCUGUUCUUGACGCUGAGGCGCGAAAGCUAGGGGAGCAACGGG
rnacentral:rRNA from 1 species